UUAAAUUGUCAUAUCACUCUGCAGCCCAAGACUGGUUGCUUACUAAAGCCGUGCAGGGCUGAGCCUGGUCAGUACCUUGAUGGGAGACCACUGGGGAAUACUAGGUUGCUGUUGGAA
rnacentral:rRNA from 1 species